CUUCUCUCAAGGUUGCACCUGGAGAGUUUCCAGUACUCUACGAAUCUUGGCUAUGGGAGGGAGAGUCAAGCAAAGGCAUACCCAUUCCAUUCCUAGCUUGGCCAGUGGCUAGAGAGUGGAAGACAAUCUGCUACAAAU
rnacentral:snoRNA from 1 species